UUGACCCAUUAUGUCUCAUUCAAACUACAGAGCUGUUACCCGAUCUGGCAAACUUGCAUAGUGCGGUUAUAGCUGGUAGAGAGCCACAAAGCAAAUGCAGACGUGCCGUUCCCCCUGUUACGAGUUGGUGAACCACUGAAAGGAUUUUGGAAACAUUAUUUUAAGGAACAAAAAAAUUUUUGGAGUUG